rnacentral:rRNA from 1 species
UUCGACAACGGAUCUCUUGGCUCUCGCAUCGAUGAAGAACGCAGCGAAAUGCGAUAAGUAAUGUGAAUUGCAGAAUUCAGUGAAUCAUCGAAUCUUUGAACGCACCUUGCGCCCUUUGGUAUUCCGAGGGGCAUGCCUGUUUGAGUGUCAU